rnacentral:rRNA from 1 species
AUUGAACGCUGGCGGCAUGCCUUACACAUGCAAGUCGAACGGCAGCACGGGAGUAAUCCUGGUGGCGAGUGGCGAACGGGUGAGUAAUGUAUCGGAACGUGCCCAGUCGUGGGGGAUAACGCAGCGAAAGCUGUGCUAAUACCGCAUACGAUCUAUGGAUGAAAGCGGGGGAUCGCAAGACCUCGCGCGAUUGGAGCGGCCGAUAUCAGAUUAGCUAGUUGGUGGGGUAAAAGCUUACCAAGGCGACGAUCUGUAGCUGGUCUGAGAGGACGACCAGCCACACUGGAACUGAGACACGGUCCAGACUCCUACGGGAGGCAGCAGUGGGGAAUUUUGGACAAUGGGCGCAAGCCUGUUCCAGCAAUGCCGCGUGCAGGAUGAAGGCCUUCGGGUUGUAUACUGCUUUUGUACGGAGCGAAAAGGCUCUCUCUAAUACGGGGGGCCCAUGACGGUACCGUAAGAAUAAGCACCGGCUAACUACGUGCCAGCCGCCGCUGUAA